GACCAUAUUAUGUUGAAACACUGGUACCCAUAUGAUCACCAAAGUUAAGCAACAUUAAGCCUGGUCAACACCUAGACGGGUGACCAUUUGGGAAUACCAGGUGCUGUAAG